UUACGCCCGUAUCACGUUGAAACACCGGCUUCCGUACAAUCAACAAAGUUAAGCACAGUCGAGCCUGGUCAGUACCUAGAUGGGUGAACGCUUGAGAAUACCGGGUAG